GUAUAAGUUUAUUGUCUACGACGACGACUACGACGACGACGACAUCGUCAACUACGACGUUGUGCGUUCAAUGUCUGUGCAAAAGCGAUUUACCAACGAUCCCUUUUUGCCCGCAUACUGCAAAGCGACUUUACUCGUUCUAGUCGCCGCGUCGCACGCCGUGGGGCGAAAGUUUGAUUAAACGGGUUUACUUGCACUAUGGGGUGUUCGGAAUAGCGAUUUGAACGACGUGGCUGCUGCUGGGCUGAUUAAACACGAUGUCACGUGGGACCCGCUAUCUUCGUGUCUGGAAAACGAAGUCCUUCUCACCGAAAAAAGUCGUCGCAUUCAUACGAGGUGUACGUCAAAGCGUAGAAGAUCUGCACCUUCAACAAUUUUUUGAAUCCACGCCAAUUUUUCCUGCGACGAUCACACCUAAUUGUAAGGAUAUUCUUCCAAUCGAAGGAAUUUACAGGAAUUUGAAUAUGAACUGACGACUUUGAGAGCAAUUGCUGAAAGCAUUCCGAGAAAAGAUUUCUGAGAUGUGGUUUCUGAGAUAAGAAAUGUUUCAGCUACGAAAAAAAAAAAGGAAUAAAGAUGGG